rnacentral:rRNA from 1 species
UACGUAGGGUGCAAGCGUUGUCCGGAAUUAUUGGGCGUAAAGAGCUCGUAGGCGGUUUGUCGCGUCGGCUGUGAAAACCUGGGGCUCAACCCCGGGCCUGCAGUCGAUACGGGCAGGCUAGAGUUCGGCAGGGGAGACUGGAAUUCCUGGUGUAGCGGUGAAAUGCGCAGAUAUCAGGAGGAACACCGGUGGCGAAGGCGGGUCUCUGGGCCGGAACUGACGCUGAGGAGCGAAAGCGUGGGGAGCGAACAGG